rnacentral:rRNA from 1 species
UAUUGCACAAUGGGCGCAAGCCUGAUGCAGUCAUGCCGCGUGUAUGAAGAAGGCCUUCGGGUUGUAAAGUACUUUCAGCGGGGAGGAAGGGAGUAACGUUAAUACCGUCGCGCAUUGACGUUCCCCGCAGAAGAAGUACCGCCUAACUCCGUGCCAGCAGCCGCGGUAAUACGGAGGGUGCAAACGUUAAUCGGAAUUACUGGGCGUAAAGCGCACGCAGGCGGUUUGUUAAGUCAGAUGUGAAAUCCCCGGGCUCAACCUGGGAACUGCAUCUGAUACUGGCAAGCUUGAGUCUCGUAGAGGGGGGUAGAAUUCCAGGUGUAGCGGUGAAAUGCGUAGAGAUCUGGAGGAAUACCGGUGGCGAAGGCGCCCCCCUGGACGAAGACUGACGCUCAGGUGCGAAAGCGUGGGGAGCAAACAGG